CAUUUGCAUUCAAGCGUCGGAUCAGUCCCAAUAAUAAGUUGAGCUACUGGUACAAUUUUGACUCCAACAACUGGAGUGCUGUGUACAAACACACAUAUGGCAAGGAUUAUAAAUUUAAAGCUGGCUAUGAUUCAGAUGUGCGCCUUGGUUGGGCUUCACUUUGGGUUGGAGAUGAAGGUGGAAAGGCCAAGACUGCCCCGAUGAAGAUGAAAGUCCAAUUUAUGCUACAAAUGCCGCAAGAUGAUAUCAGAUCCUCAGCAUUAAUGUUCCGUGUUAAAAAGAGAUGGGACAUAGGGUAGGUUUGUGCUGAGAGCUGCUCUUUUCUCACACAUUGUGGGUUCGAUAUGAGUAGUUCUGGGUGAUGUUCCAAUGUAAUGCAUAUUGCUACAUAAUGACAACAAAUGGUUUUGAUAAGUUUUUUUUUUUGCCAAUUUAAUCAUGUAUUUAUGAUUUUCAUUUUCCCAAAUAACAAACUUAUCAAAAC
rnacentral:misc_RNA from 1 species